GUAUAGUACAACAGUUUCACUGGAGGUAUAGAUCUGGUGCUCAAACAAGGUGCAACAGCAGUGUUCAACCAUAGGGAAGAGGGAUACGCAGAUAAAAUAGUGGAAGCAACUGGUGGUGUCGGUCCAGACCUUAUAAUAGAGAUGCUAGCAAAUGUAAACCUAGAAACUGAUAUGAAAAUAAUAAACCGGAAAGGAAUUAUUGUGGUUGUUGGUAACAGAGGGUCUAUUAAAA